GAUGAACGCUGGCGGCGUGCCUAAUACAUGCCAGUCGAGCGAACGGACGAGAAGCUUGCUUUUCUGAUGUUAGCGGCGGACGGGUGAGAAACACGUGGAUAACCUACCUAUAAGACUGGGAUAACUUCGGGAAAUCGGAGCUAAUACCGGAUAAUAUUUUGAACCGCAUGGUUCAAAAGUGAAAGACGGUCUUGCUGUCACUUAUAGAUGGAUCCGCGCUGCAUUAGCUAGUUGGUAAGGUAACGGCUUACCAAGGCAACGAUGCAUAGCCGACCUGAGAGGGUGAUCGGCCACACUGGAACUGAGACACGGUCCAGACUCCUACGGGAGGCAGCAGUAGGGAAUCUUCCGCAAUGGGCGAAAGCCUGACGGAGCAACGCCGCGUGAGUGAUGAAGGUCUUCGGAUCGUAAAACUCUGUUAUUAGGGAAGAACACAUGUGUAAGUAACUGUGCACAUCUUGACGGUACCUAAUCAGAAAGCCACGGCUAACUACGUG
rnacentral:rRNA from 1 species